UUCUAUGGCGGGCGGUGUGCGGAGGCCUUCGGGCCUGCCGGUGACUCCUACCGGUCUGUCAACCGCGCACCGUCCGCCACCCCG
rnacentral:antisense_RNA from 1 species